UGGCGGCGUGCCUAAUACAUGCAAGUCGAGCGAACGGACGAGAAGCUUGCUUCUCUGAUGUUAGCGGCGGACGGGUGAGUAACACGUGGAUAACCUACCUAUAAGACUGGGAUAACUUCGGGAAACCGGAGCUAAUACCGGAUAAUAUUUUGAACCGCAUGGUUCAAAAGUGAAAGACGGUCUUGCUGUCACUUAUAGAUGGAUCCGCGCUGCAUUAACUAGUUGGUAAGGUAACGGCUUACCAAGGCAACGAUGCAUAGCCGACCUGAGAGGGUGAUCGGCCACACUGGAACUGAGACACGGUCCAGACUCCUACGGGAGGCAGCAGUAGGGAAUCUUCCGCAAUGGGCGAAAGCCUGACGGAGCAACGCCGCGUGAGUGAUGAAGGUCUUCGGAUCGUAAAACUCUGUUAUUAGGGAAGAACAUAUGUGUAAGUAACUGUGCACAUCUUGACGGUACCUAAUCAGAAAGCCACGGCUAACUACGUGCCAGCAGCCGCGGUAAUACGUAGGUGGCAAGCGUUAUCCGGAAUUAUUGGGCGUAAAGCGCGCGUAGGCGGUUUUUUAAGUCUGAUGUGAAAGCCCACGGCUCAACCGUGGAGGGUCAUUGGAAACUGGAAAACUUGAGUGCAGAAGAGGAAAGUGGAAUUCCAUGUGUAGCGGUGAAAUGCGCAGAGAUAUGGAGGAACACCAGUGGCGAAGGCGACUUUCUGGUCUGUAACUGACGCUGAUGUGCGAAAGCGU
rnacentral:rRNA from 1 species